GACGAACGCUGGCGGCGUGCUUAACACAUGCAAGUCGAACGGAAAGGCCCUGCUUUUGUGGGGUGCUCGAGUGGCGAACGGGUGAGUAACACGUGAGUAACCUGCCCUUGACUUUGGGAUAACUUCAGGCAACUGGGGCUAAUACCGGAUAGGAGCUCCUGCUGCAUGGUGGGGGUUGGAAAGUUUCGGCGGUUGGGGAUGGACUCGCGGCUUAUCAGCUUGUUGGUGGGGUAGUGGCUUACCAAGGCUUUGACGGGUAGCCGGCCUGAGAGGGUGACCGGCCAAAUUGGGACUGAGAUACGGCCCAGACUCCUACGGGAGGCAGCAGUGGGGAAUAUUGCACAAUGGGCGGAAGCCUGAUGCAGCAACGCCGCGUGCGGGAUGACGGCCUUCGGGUUGUAAACCGCUUUCGCCUGUGACGAAGCGUGAGUGACGGUAAUGGGUAAAGAAGCACCGGCUAACUACGUG
rnacentral:rRNA from 1 species